rnacentral:tRNA from 1 species
UACAGUGUAAUGGUUAGCACUCUGGACUUGAAUCCAGCGAUCCGGGUUCGAAUCCCGGUA